rnacentral:rRNA from 1 species
AUUGAACGCUGGCGGCAUGCUUUACACAUGCAAGUCGAACGGUAACAGGCCGCAAGGUGCUGACGAGUGGCGAACGGGUGAGUAAUGCAUCGGAACGUGCCCAGUCGUGGGGGAUAACUACUCUAAAGAGUAGCUAAUACCGCAUACGAUCUAUGGAUGACAGCGGGGGACCGUAAGGCCUCGCGCGAUUGGAGCGGCCGAUGUCAGAUUAGGUAGUUGGUGGGGUAAAGGCUCACCAAGCCAACGAUCUGUAGCUGGUCUGAGAGGACGACCAGCCACACUGGGACUGAGACACGGACCAGACUCCUACGGGAGGCAGCAGUGGGGAAUUUUGGACAAUGGGCGCAAGCCUGAUCCAGCAAUGCCGCGUGCAGGAAGAAGGCCUUCGGGUUGUAAACUGCUUUUGUACGGAACGAAACGGCUCUGGUUAAUACCCGGGGCUAAUGACGGUACCGUAAGAAUAAGCACCGGCUAACUACGUG